CCUACGGGAGGCAGCAGUAGGGAAUAUUGGGCAAUGGAGGCAACUCUGACCCAGCCAUGCCGCGUGCAGGAAGAAGGCGUUAUGCGUUGUAAACUGCUUUUAUAUAGGAAGAAAUAGACCUUGCGAGGUAAGUUGACGGUACUAUAUGAAUAAGCACCGGCUAACUCCGUGCCAGCAGCCGCGGUAAUACGGAGGGUGCAAGCGUUGUCCGGAUUUAUUGGGUUUAAAGGGUGCGUAGGCGGUUUAUUAAGUCAGUGGUGAAAGACGGUCGCUCAACGAUUGCAGUGCCAUUGAUACUGGUAGACUUGAGUGGGAUUGAGGUAGCUGGAAUGGAUAGUGUAGCGGUGAAAUGCAUAGAUAUUAUCCAGAACACCAAUUGCGUAGGCAAGUUACUAAGUACUCAACUGACGCUGAGGCACGAAAGUGUGGGUAUCAAACAGGAUUAGAUACCCUGGUAGUCCACACUGUAAACGAUGAUAACUAACUGUUGGCUUUCGGGUCAGUGGUACAGAGAAAUCGUUAAGUUAUCCACCUGGGGAGUACGCCGGCAACGGUGAAACUCAAUGAAUUGACGG
rnacentral:rRNA from 1 species